rnacentral:rRNA from 1 species
CUGGGCUGGAUGAGUGGCGAACGGGUGAGUAACACGUGAGUAACCUGCCCUCUUCUUUGGGAUAACGGUCGGAAACGGCUGCUAAUACCGGGUAUUCACUGUCCUUCGCAUGGGGGGUGGGUGGAAAGGUUUUUUCUGGUGGGGGAUGGGCUCGCGGCCUAUCAGCUUGUUGGUGGGGUGAUGGCUUACCAAGGCUUUGACGGGUAACCGGCCUGAGAGGGUGACCGGUCACAUUGGGACUGAGAUACGGCCCAG